GUGUGGCAUCUUUCUGAACUCCCUCGAUCGUCCGAGCUUCCAUAAUACCAUCUGAACUUCUCCGACAAUGAGCUUCCUCAUUCAUCUACCAGACUGCUCCAAAUGCUCUCUGAACUUUGCUAUUAGCCGAUUUUCUAUGGUGACCGACUAUUCUCCGAAUCUCUUCCAAACUUCUUCCGAUCACGGACGACUCUACUCCGAACUUC
rnacentral:lncRNA from 1 species